rnacentral:rRNA from 1 species
AUUGAACGCUGGCGGCAUGCCUAACACAUGCAAGUCGAACGGUAACAGGAGCUAGCUUGCUAGCUUGCUGACGAGUGGCGGACGGGUGAGUAAUGCGUAGGAAUUUACCUCAAAGCGGGGGAUAGCCCGGAGAAAUCCGGAUUAAUACCGCAUGUGCUCUACGGAGGAAAGCGGGCCUCUACUUGUAAGCUCGCACUUUGAGAUAAGCCUACGUCGGAUUAGCUAGUUGGUAGGGUAAAGGCCUACCAAGGCGACGAUCCGUAGCUGGUUUGAGAGGAUGAUCAGCCACACUGGGACUGAGACACGGCCCAGACUCCUACGGGAGGCAG